GCCCAGAUAGCUCAGUCGGUAGAGCAGGGGAUUGAAAAUCCCCAUGACAGAUUCCAUACCACCGCUCUGGACAGCA
rnacentral:tRNA from 1 species